UCACAUCUUACGAUGGCAGUCUCCAUAGAGUCCUCAGCAUGACCUGUUAGUAACUAUAGACAAGGGUUGCGCUCGUUAUGGCACUUAAGCCGACACCUCACGGCACGAGCUGACGACAACCAUGCAGCACCUUCACACUCGCUAUUGCUAGCUAUAACGUUUCCGCUAUAUUCGAGUGCAAUUCAAGCCCGGGUAAGGUUCCUCGCGUAUCAUCGAAUUAAACCACAUGUUCCUCCGCUUGUGCGGGCCCCCGUCAAUUCCUUUGAGUUUCACCGUUGCCGGCGUACUCCCCAGGUGGAAUACUUAACGCUUUCGCUUGGCCGCUUGCUGUAUAUCGCAAACAGCGAGUAUUCAUCGUUUACCGUGUGGACUAC
rnacentral:misc_RNA from 1 species